GCUCAUACCAAGACGAAUGGUUGUUUUAUUUCGGAGCCCGUUUUUGUUAAAAAUUUUCACUGCAUGCAUUACUAAAAAAUCGAGCGGUCAUCGGAUAAUGCCAAGACGAUUUUCUCAAGCGCCUCCGAAAAAAAAUUGAAAGUAAGUCACAAGUAUACAGAAAUGGUGAAACGGGAAGCACGCCUGGAAAACAAACCCUAGUAUGAAUCAUGGCAAUUCUGGAAAUUCCAAUGAAACUACAAACGACGUUUUGAUGCAAGAUUUUUCAAAUAUCCAAAUCGAGUAUCUCGAAUCACUAACAAGUCAAAAAACGAUAAGAAAGAAUACAGUAUCUGCGAGAAGAUAAAUUCUGAAUCUGGAACAAGGAAACUUCAAAUUUUUGUUUUUCUCUAAGAAUUUAUAUUCUGAAAAAUGACAAAAAUAUAACCUCGCUCGACAGUGGAGUUACAUUCCGCUUAUAACUACAAUGUGCCAAACAUGUGAGGUGCUAGAUGGAUUAUGCAUUCAUUGUGGAAAUAUGAUCUCUAGUUAACAACAUCGGUGAACACCAUUCUCAUGCACAGUAGGCACAACGACGAGAAUCCUCGACGAAAUAUCUGUUGGAUGUCUGAACCGAUGAAGUUGUUUGACGAAAUUGAAUAUGAAAAGUGCACGGGCUCAACGCAAAAGUUCUCGAGCAUCUUGUCAAAUUUUACGUGAAUCAACCACGCGGAAGAGAAGGCGUGCAAAUGAAGCCCUAUCUACAACAUGGCGAGGGACUCGUUGUAAUGUUGCUGGUGAUAUGAAAAGAAU